rnacentral:rRNA from 1 species
GAUGAACGCUGGCGGCGUGCCUAAUACAUGCAAGUCGAACGCAUUGUGGUUGAAAUGAUAUGAAGAACUUGUUCAGAUUUGAUUUUCAACAUUGCAAUGAGUGGCGAACGGGUGAGUAACACGUGGGAAACCUACCUCUUAGCAGGGGAUAACAUUUGGAAACAAAUGCUAAUACCGUAUAAUAAUUAAAACCGCAUGGUUUUAGUUUAAAAGAUGGUCUUGCUAUCACUAAGAGAUGGUCCCGCGGUGUAUUAGUUAGUUGGUGAGGUAAUGGCUCACCAAGACAAUGAUACAUAGCCGAGUUGAGAGACUGACCGGCCACAAUGGGACUGAGACACGGCCCAUACUCCUACGGGAGCAGCAGUAGGGAAUCUUCCACAAUGGACGAAAGUCUGAUGGAGCAACGCCGCGUGUGUGAUGAAGGGCUUCGGCUCGUAAAACACUAGUUGUAAGAGAAGAAU